AGUGAACGCUGGCGGUAGGCCUAACACAUGCAAGUCGAACGGCAGCACAGUAAGAGCUUGCUCUUACGGGUGGCGAGUGGCGGACGGGUGAGGAAUACAUCGGAAUCUACUUUUUCGUGGGGGAUAACGUAGGGAAACUUACGCUAAUACCGCAUACGACCUACGGGUGAAAGCAGGGGAUCUUCGGACCUUGCGCGAUUGAAUGAGCCGAUGUCGGAUUAGCUAGUUGGCGGGGUAAAGGCCCACCAAGGCGACGAUCCGUAGCUGGUCUGAGAGGAUGAUCAGCCACACUGGAACGGAGACACGGUCCAGACUCCUACGGGAGGCAGCAGUGGGGAAUAUUGGACAAUGGGCGCGAGCCUGAUCCAGCCAUACCGCGUGGGUGAAGAAGGCCUUCGGGUUGUAAAGCCCUUUUGUUGGGAAAGAAAAGCAGCAGGUUAAUACCCCGCUGUUCUGACGGUACCCAAAGAAUAAGCACCGGCUAACUUCGUG
rnacentral:rRNA from 1 species